UAUACCCACUAAUUUUUCUUAUUUAAAAAGAAAAAUCAAUGUGAUUAAUAUGUCUAUAAUUGGGUCUACUUAAGGCCAUUAAUAAGCCCUAAUCUUAUUUUUAAUUGGUUAAUUAAUUGGAGCCCAAAGGGCCAAGAAUGCUUAAAAAUAUUUUAAGCCCAAAAAUUUCAACAAAGUCAAAUGUCGUUUUCUGAGUUGUACGGAACAAUAGAAUUAU
rnacentral:lncRNA from 1 species